rnacentral:tRNA from 1 species
GGGCCUGUAGCUCAGCAAGGUAGAGCGGUGGACAUAGGACCCAUUGGUCGAGGGUUCAAAUCCCUCCAGGCCCGCCA